AGGUCAGUUCCUCCACCUUGCCCCUCCCUGCAGAUUUGCCAACAGGAUCUUCGGCCCCAUCUGGAACCGGGACAACAUCGCCUGCGUUAUCCUCACCUUCAAGGAGCCCUUUGGCACUGAGGGUCGCGGGGGCUAUUUCGAUGAAUUUGGGAUCAUCCGGGACGUGAUGCAGAACCACCUACUGCAGAUGCUGUGUCUGGUGGCCAUGGAGAAGCCCGCCUCCACCAACUCAGAUGACGUCCGUGAUGAGAAGGUAGGGGGUGCACCCCAGUCCCCAGGAGCAUGCCCUGUCGCAGGCCCAUCUGUGACGAGGCACUGAGCUGGGGUGUGCAUGCAGAGCAGGUGUCCUCAACCCCGGAGAAGUCACCACCUCUGAGCACAGCGUGGCCUCCCGGAGGUGACCUGGACUGGCAGUCAUGAAGCCCAAGUUGUCAUGUCCCAGGCCUGACAGUCACUAUGUGACCAGGGAAGGCCAUUGCCUCUCUGGGCCUCAGCUUGUUCAUCAGAAUAGA
rnacentral:lncRNA from 1 species